UUGAAGAGCCAAUCCUUAUCCCGAAAUUACGGAUCUGACGGGCCGACUUCCCUUACCUACAUUGUUCUAACAUGCCAGAGGCUGUUCACCUUUGAGACCUGCUGCGGGUUUGGGGAAGGC